GACGUAACAUAAUUCAUAAAGACGCUUUAUUUCUUAAUGAAUUGGGGGAGUGGCCUUGCCAUUGGGCGUAAUUACCCAAAUCAGCGAACAGAAAGGUCUCUGUGGCGCAAUUGGUCAGCACGUUCGGCUGUUAACCGAAAGGUUGGUGGUUCAACCCCACCCAGGGACGUUUUGAGAUUGUAAAGAAAUGCAGACGUAACAUAAUUCAUAAAGACGCUUUAUUUCUUAAUGAAUUGGGGGAGUGGCCUUGCCAUUGGGCGUAAUUACCCAAAUCGGCGAUCAGAAAGGUCUCUGUGGCACAAUUGGUCAGCGCAUUCGGCUGUUAACUGAAAGGUUGGUGGUUCAAGCCCACCCAGGGACGUUUUGAGAUUGUAAAGAAAUGCAGACGUAACAUAAUUUGUGAAAAUGCUUUAUUUCUUAAUGAAUUGGGGGAGUCGCCUUGCCGUUGGGCGUAAUUACCCAAAUCGGCGAUCAGAAAGGUCUCUGUGGUGCAAUUGGUCAGCGCGUUCGGCUGUUAACUGAAAGGUUGGUGGUUCAAGCCCACCCAGGGACGUUUUGAGAUUGCAGACGUAACAUAAUUUAUGAAGACGCUUUAUUUCUUAAUGAAUUGGGGGAGUGGCCUUGCCAU
ensembl:lncRNA